rnacentral:rRNA from 1 species
AGUGAACGCUGGCGGUAGGCCUAACACAUGCAAGUCGAACGGCAGCACAGUAAGAGCUUGCUCUUACGGGUGGCGAGUGGCGGACGGGUGAGGAAUACAUCGGAAUCUACUUUUUCGUGGGGGAUAACGUAGGGAAACUUACGCUAAUACCGCAUACGACCUACGGGUGAAAGCAGGGGAUCUUCGGACCUUGCGCGAUUGAAUGAGCCGAUGUCGGAUUAGCUAGUUGGCGGGGUAAAGGCCCACCAAGGCGACGAUCCGUAGCUGGUCUGAGAGGAUGAUCAGCCACACUGGAACUGAGACACGGUCCAGACUCCUACGGGAGGCAGCAGUGGGGAAUAUUGGACAAUGGGCGCAAGCCUGAUCCAGCCAUACCGCGUGGGUGAAGAAGGCCUUCGGGUUGUAAGGCCCUUUUGUCGGGAAAGAAAAGCAGCAGGUUAAUACCCCGCUGUUCUGACGGUACCCAAAGAAUAAGCACCGGCUAACUUCGUG